rnacentral:rRNA from 1 species
CCUACGGGAGGCAGCAGUGGGGAAUUUUGGACAAUGGACGCAAGUCUGAUCCAGCCAUGCCGCGUGUGGGAAGAAGGCCUUCGGGUUGUAAACCACUUUUGUCAGGGAAGAAACGGCUCGGGUUAAUACCUUGGGCUAAUGACGGUACCUGAAGAAUAAGCACCGGCUAACUACGUGCCAGCAGCCGCGGUAAUACGUAGGGUGCAAGCGUUAAUCGGAAUUACUGGGCGUAAAGCGUGCGCAGGCGGUUAUGCAAGACAGAUGUGAAAUCCCCGGGCUCAACCUGGGAACUGCAUUUGUGACUGCAUGGCUAGAGUACGGUAGAGGGGGAUGGAAUUCCGCGUGUAGCAGUGAAAUGCGUAGAUAUGCGGAGGAACACCGAUGGCGAAGGCAAUCCCCUGGACCUGUACUGACGCUCAUGCACGAAAGCGUGGGGAGCAAACAGGAUUAGAUACCCUGGUAGUCCACGCCCUAAACGAUGUCAACUGGUUGUUGGGAGGGUUUCUUCUCAGUAACGUAGCUAACGCGUGAAGUUGACCGCCUGGGGAGGACGGCGCGAAGUAGUAAGUUAAAGUUAGUAGUUAGUUAGCGNGNGAGNGCGACGGACGACGACGAGGAGGAGG